AUGGAGGUGGAAACCCAGGCAGUUAAAGUGGACAAAAAGGCGGAGGAUGGAGAAGAGGAGAUUAGUGACUCUCAACCGAAAAAGAGGAAAGUUGAGAAUUCUCUUGAAGCCAAAGACAGUGUCCUUUCCACUCCCUCUCUCGCUGACCCAGAGACUCCAGUGGCUCCUCGGCCAGAGGAAACAGAUAACAAGAAGAUAGAGGAGAGCGCCGGAGAUGACAAAGCCGCCAGCAAGAAGAGGCCUCUCAGUCGCCAGAGCAGUCAGGAGUCGGUGCGCUCCUCUUCUCCUUCCUCGGUGUGCUCCACAUCCAAUCCCACCCGGUCAGCCCAAUACAAGAAGAGUGCAGAGAAGAGAGCACCUGCCAAGAGGAGGCGAGGAGAGGUUCUGUCUGACCCAGAGAAGGGAGAGGGGAAGACUGAGAAAGAGUCCACCAACGCCACUCGGAGGAGGCAGUCCAGGUCCUCUUCUUCAGACUCGGACCCCUGUGAAACCAGGAAAGAACGCCUCACCCGCUCGUCCCAGAGCUGGCAGGAGAAAGAGGGGGAUGGAGAGGGCAACAGGCGGAGAAGAAGACCUGCCAGGAGCUCUGAAUGGGAGGGCAGGACUGUGUCCAACAACACCGGUACUGGGGAGUCUGGUAGCGAGACAUCCUCUGUGAGAGUCACCCGGAAAUCCUCUGGUCCUCUGCCCACCUCGGAGAGUAAACCCCAGUCUAACAGCGUGCCCUCUACCCCUCCCCAGCCAGAGGUCCUGGGAAAGAGAUGUUCAGCCCUGAACGCUGCAGCCAAACUCCUUGCCAUGCGAGGCAGGGUCGACACCCCUGGCAGCAGGAAAGACCCUGCGGCUAAGGCUGCUGGGCAGAAUGUCAUUUCUCCCGCUUCCUCUGACAAGAACCACAAGUCCAAAUCUAAAAGUGCACCAGCCACUCCGCAAACAAACUGCAACAACAAAGCAGGAAUCAGCAAGAUGACUCCCACCAAGUCUAGCCGCACCGCCGCCCGCUCCACCCGCCAGUGCCCUGGCGCCCUCGUCCCGCCCCUGGAGACAGACAACAAGAGGGGGAGCAAGAAGGAGGAGAGUGAAAAAGAAAAAAAGAAGCCCUCGGAGGAGAAGGAAGAGGGGGGCGAGAGGGAGACUCGCUCGUCCAGGGGCCACAGCGCCUGCAGCAGCGUGAGUAGCGAUGGUGGAGGGAGUAGCCUGAGCAGCAGCAACAGCAGCCAGCGCACCCACAGCCUCAGCUCCCAGAGCACCGGGCCCAGGCUCAACAGCUCGCGAGCACCAUCCUCCAGCAGCGAACGUGAACGCAGCACCGAGAGGGGCAGGAGGCGCAGACACAGGAAGGAAGGAGAAGGCUGGGGGAGGGAGACCCGGAAGGAAAGAAAGGAGAGGCACGCCCAGAAGCGGGAGAGGCUCUCGCAGGAAGGGAACGCUGGCUCGGGAGAGGGCACCCCGGACAGGGUGCUGCGCAGCGUGGCGGCUAUGGCAGCAGCUCAGGCCCGCACACCGGCAGCCAACACCCGCUCCUCCCGGUCUUCCUCUGCCCAACACAACAAGACAUGA
rnacentral:lncRNA from 13 species